rnacentral:rRNA from 1 species
UACCAGCUCUCCGAGUGGUGUGGAUGUUUAUUGGGCCUAAAGCAUCCGUAGCUGGCUGGACAAGUCCCCUGUUAAAUCCACCGAUUUAAUCGUUGGUGUGCGGGGGAUACUGUUCGGCUAGGGGACGGGAGAGGCCGACGGUAUUUCCGGGGUAGGGGUGAAAUCCUAUAAUCCCGGGAAGACCACCAGUGGCGAAGGCUGUCGGCUAGAACGCGCCCGACGGUGAGGGAUGAAAGCUGGGGGAGCGAACCGGAUUAGAUACCCGGGUAGUCCCAGCUGUAAACGAUGCAGGCUAGGUGUUUGGGCGGCCACGUGCCGCUCUAGUGCCGCAAGGAAGCUGUUAAGCCUGCCGCCUGGGGAGUACGGCCGCAAGGCUGAAACUUAAAGGAAUUGGGCGGGGGAGCACCACAAGGGGUGAAGCUUGCGGUUUA